rnacentral:rRNA from 1 species
GACGAACGCUGGCGGCGUGCUUAACACAUGCAAGUCGAACGGUGACCCUCGGAGCUUGCUUCGGGGUGAACAGUGGCGAACGGGUGAGUAACACGUGAGUAACCUGCCCCUGACUCUGGAAUAAGCGCUGGAAACGGCGUCUAAUACCGGAUACGACACGCCUCCGCAUGGGGAGCGUGUGGAAAGUUUUUCGGUCUGGGAUGGACUCGCGGCCUAUCAGCUUGUUGGUGAGGUAAUGGCUCACCAAGGCGAUGACGGGUAGCCGGCCUGAGAGGGCGACCGGCCACACUGGGACUGAGACACUGCCCAGACUCCUACGGGAGGCGGCAGUGGGGAAUAUUGCACAAUGGGCGAAAGCCUGAUGCAGCGACGCCGCGUGAGGGAUGACGGCCUUCGGGUUGUAAACCUCUUUCAGCAGGGAAGAAGCGAAAGUGACGGUACCUGCAGAAGAAGCACCGGCUAACUACGUGCCAGCCGCCGCCGUAAGAC